ACGGGGGAAGCUGUAACCCUUGUGACCAGGAAUGAUUGGCGGAAUGCAUCUGAAUUGAUUGACAUUUUGGAAAGAGGAAACCAGGUAAUUCCCGAAGAACUUAUUUCAAUGGCGGAAAGAUACAAGCAGUUUCAGAUGAAAAAA